rnacentral:rRNA from 1 species
UACGUAGGGGGCAAGCGUUGUCCGGAUUUAUUGGGUUUAAAGGGUGCGUAGGCGGUUUCAUAAGUCAGUGGUGAAAUACGGCAGCUCAACUGUCGAGGUGCCAUUGAUACUGUGAGACUUGAGUACAGACGAGGUAGGCGGAAUUGACGGUGUAGCGGUGAAAUGCUUAGAUAUGACAUAGAACACCAAUUGCGAAGGCAGCUUACUACACAGUUAUUGACGCUGAGGCACGAAAGCGUGGGGAGCAAACAGG